AUGUCGCCGCGGUCGUCGCCAGGGACCCGCAGCUCCUCCGCGCCAGCGUGGGACAGAACCCUGGCGCCCAUCGUCGCCGGGCUCUCUGGCCUCGGCCUAUCGCGUUCCGAAAUCGCACGCCUCGCCUCGCUCGCCGCCCACAGAUUCCGCAGAAAAGACACCGUCUCCAAGCUCGAGUACCACCUGCGCCUCUUCCGCUCCUUCGAGAACCUCCUCCGGGCCAUCAAGUUCUGCGAUCUCAUCUCGCACAGCCUCGAGAGGGUGGUCAAGCCCAAUGUCGCGUUGCUGCGCGAGUGCGGGUUAGGUGAUUGCGACAUUGCCAAGCUGUGCAUCUCAAGGCCCAGGAUGAUCACCACCAACCCGGAGCUUGUCCAGGCGAUGGUGACAUGCGCUCAAGACAUAGGUGUGCCCCGUGGCUCUGUGAUGUUCAGGCACGCGCUGCUUGCUGUUUCAUCUGUCGGCAAGGAGGAGAUCUUGCUGGGAUGUCCAGCCAGAGUGGAGUACUUGAGGAACACGUUCAGGUGGACGGAUGCUGAGGUGGCCAUUGCUGUUUCUAAGGCUCCAGCGGUGCUGACGAGGGCUAAGGAAUCUCUGCAGCGCAGAUCCGAGUUCCUCAUCUCCGAGCUGGGGUUGGAACCGGCAUACAUUGCUUAUCGUCCGGCAAUGCUCAUGUACAGCUUGGAGGGCCGGAUCAGACCCCGACACUACACUACGUUGUAA
rnacentral:rRNA from 1 species